rnacentral:rRNA from 1 species
CAGCCGCCGCGGUAAUACGAAGGGUGCAAGCGUUAAUCGGAAUUACUGGGCGUAAAGCGUGCGUAGGCGGUUUGUUAAGUCUGUUGUGAAAUCCCCGGGCUCAACCUGGGAAUGGCAAUGGAUACUGGCAAGCUAGAGUGUGUCAGAGGAUGGUGGAAUUCCCGGUGUAGCGGUGAAAUGCGUAGAGAUCGGGAGGAACAUCAGUGGCGAAGGCGGCCAUCUGGGACAACACUGACGCUGAGGCACGAAAGCGUGGGGAGCAAACAGGAUUAGAUACCCCCGUAGUCCCUGUCUCUUAUAA